AAUAAACGCUGGCGGCGUGUCUUAAGCAUGCAAGUCGGACGGCAAGCCGCCUUCGGGCGGCCUAGAGUGGCGGACUGGUGAGUAACACGUGGGUGAUAUACCUUUUGGACGGGGAUAGCCCCUAGAAAUAGGGGGUAAUACCGGAUAAGGCCGUGCGGGUUGGAGCCGCACGGGGAAAGGCGCUAUGGCGCCGCCGAAAGAAUAGCCUGCGACCUAUCAGCUAGUUGGUGAGGUAACGGCCCACCAAGUCGACGAUCGGUAGCCGGACUGAGAGGUUGAACGGCCACAUUGGGACUGAGACACGGCCCAGACUCCUACGGGAGGCAGCAGUGGGGAAUAUUGGGCAAUGGGCGAAAGCCUGACCCAGCAACGCCGCGUGAAGGAAGAAGGUCUUCGGAUUGUAAACUUCUUUUAUUAAGGACGAAAAAUGACGGUACUUAAUGAAUAAGCUCCGGCUAACUACGUG
rnacentral:rRNA from 1 species